AAAGUCCCUGAUUAAAUGGCAUAGGGUCCUAUACUUCAUUACAUCAUAACAGGGGAUCAAUUUUGUGGCAAAAGAGGUGUGACAAGGAGCUCCUAAUCAUAGAACUCACAUCUUUUACAAUAUAUUGCAUCACAAACACCCUACUUUCCUCAUAGAAUGAUGGAAUGGAUAUUACAGUCACCAUUAAGAAACAGCAGAGAUUAAUAUAUAUGUGCUUGAAGUUCAUUGCAUGAAGUAUUAACUAUCCUACAGUGCUAAGCUGUAUUAAUUCUGAUGGACAGUUACUUAGGGAAGUCAAAUGCCCCACCACCAUCAUUCAGCAAAGAGGUGCAUUAUAUGAGCCUGAAAGUGAAUGUUCCUGUUAAGGAUCCGGCCGUCAAGCCCGAGCUACAUGGAGAGGUCGUGUUUGGACACCUUAAUUAGCCCCAGCUGAGUUCCUAGCAUUAACUACCAGUCAUGUGGAGCAACCUAUGAAUGAGGAUGUAAUGUGGCAGCAGUUCUUUUGCUGAUAAUGCCAACAUAUUGUGGUGUUUUAUCUGUGAGCCAGGUCUCUGUCUUUUCUCCCUUUGUUGAUUGGUCAAAAGUUACCCUCCAUAAGGACAUAGUUGUGAGUUUGAGGAUAAGCAUCAAAUAAACAGAAGUAAGUGACAA